rnacentral:misc_RNA from 1 species
GAUGAAGAACGCAGUGAAAUGCGAUAAGUAGUGUGAAUUGCAGAAUUCAGUGAAUCAUCGAAUCUUUGAACGCACAUUGCGGCCAUAGGUAUUCCUUUGGCCAUGCCUGUUCGAGCGUCAUUUACACCCUCAAGCCUAGCUUGGUGUUGGGCGUCUGUCCCGCCGUUCUCGCGCGCGGACUCGCCUCAAAGUCAUUGGCGGCGGUCGUGCCGGCCCCCUCGCGCAGCACAUUUGCGCUUCUCGGAGGCCCGGCGGAUCCGCGCUCCAGCAAGACCUUUCACGACUUGACCUCGGAUCAGGUAGGGAUACCCGCUGAACUUAAGAAUAUCAAUAAGCGGAGGA